ACCAGCUGCUCAGCUUUUCAGUCUGGGUCUGAGCUGAAACCUGCUGCAAGUCUGACGGUACCAAAUUACAUAUAUAUCUGUCAAAAUGAUGUAGGACCUAAAGUCUCUCUGUAAGUUGAUCCUUUUGACCCCAUGAUUAGGAGCUUCACAAUGUGGUACCACACCUGGAAACCUCCAGAACAAGAUCUCAAGGAAACACAGGAAAUUCCUGAAACAGCAAAACCCCCUAUGUGAAGACGUCUGUUAUUCCUUUGUGUAUCAGGAGCAUCACUGUUAAUUAACUGUUGAUACACUUAAAACAGCUUGGUUGGCAAUGUCCUUUUUGAAUAAAGAAGAGCCAGGUGUGUUUUUCAGGAUGAACUAGACAAUGCUGUCACAAGUUUACCUCUACAUCUUAUUGCCUUGGAAAAAUUUCCUGCAUAUCGUGGCACAAGAUGGUUGGCUCUCCAGGCAGCAGUUGGCGUUGUGAAUCAGUCAUCUCAGCAUGUGUCUCCAAGAUCCCACAGCAGGGGGAAAAAGAGGUGGAGGGUCACAUGCCUGGUGUUACAUACUUUGAGGCAGAGGUGGUAGGUGCCAUUUCUGCUCACAGCUCAUGGACCAGAACAAAGCCAUGCAUACCUGAGAGAGGACCAGAAAAUAUUCUGAAGCAGAUGGCUAUUUGGUCCGUGUUCUGACUAAAAGGAAGCCACACUCUGUCGAAAACAAGCUUUGUAAGAAAAUUUUGAAGUAUUUACUUAUAUCUAACCAUUCAUUCCACCUUUUCUCCCAAAUAACACUCUAAUAUCUUGAGACAUCUUGUCUAGGGCCAGAUUUCAUAAAUGCUUGUGAGGCAGGAGAAUAAGUUCCAGAGGCAGUUCACACUGCCUAAAGCCAAUUCACACUGACUUCCUAUAACUAAAUCUAAAGGAAAAUCUCAACUUUCCUCGCCCAAGUAACAAAAGAAUCAGAGGUUAUACUCCCUUUGCAACCUGCCCCUUUUCUGCCUGGCAGAUGAAAAAUGAAAAGUACCUAUGACUGGUCCCCUCCCACGACCAGCCAGACUGGUCACGGAUCACUACUUCAUUUACAUAGGGCGUAAACCGAGUAACCAAUGGGAAACCUCUAGAGGGUAUUUAAACCCCAGAAAAUUCUGUAACCGGUGGUCUCCAGCAGGUUGCUCAAUCUUGCUGCCACUCUGUGGGAUGUACUUUUGUUUCAAUAAAUCUGUGCUCUUCCUUC
rnacentral:lncRNA from 1 species